rnacentral:rRNA from 1 species
AUUUAUAUGUUAUAUUGCGUAUAUUAGUACUCUUACCAAGCAUUCUUCGGAAUGUUUUGUGUUGAAACUGAAUAUAUCAUGCUGAUCGUAUGGUCUUGUACCGACGACAUGUCAUUCAAGUGUCUGAUCUAUCAACUUUCUAUAUAAGUAUAUAGUACUUAUAUGGUUUUGACGGAUAACGGGGUAUUAGGGUACGACUCCGGAGAAAAUGCCUGAGAAACGGCGUUUACAUCCAAGGAAGGCAGCAGGCGCGAAAAUUACCCACUCUCAGUACGAGGAGGUAGUGACGAGAAAUGACAAGAUCUAUUCCUUCGGGGAUGGAUCAUUGGAAUGGUUUGAUUUUAAAAUCAUUAAAGAGUAUCAAUGAGAGGGCAAGUCUGGUGCCAGCAGCCGCGGUAAUUCCAGCUCUCAUACUGCAUUGAAUUGUUGUUGCGGUUAAAAAGCUCGUAGUUGGAUCUGUACAUGAUAGGUUAGUUCAUCCUUUGGAUUGUAACUAAUACUAAAUGUUUUUUAUUAGAUUUUUUUACGUUUUUACGAAUGUAAAAUGUCUAAUGAGUUUACUUUGAAUAAAUCAGAGUGCUCAAAACAGGCGUAAGCUUGUAUGGUUUUGCAUGGAAUAAUAGAACAUGACUAUGGGUCAUGUUUUAUUGGUUUUUACUACCAUAGUAAUGAUUAAAGGAACAAACGGGGGCAUCCGUAUCGCAGGGCGAGAGGUGAA